UUUGGAGAAGCAACUGGCCUGUCACUUUCACUUAAGCAAGCUGUGCCAACCUCUCUCCUGUCCCUUUCUCCUCAUCUGGUCGUGCCUCUUCCUGUUCUCAUCCUCCUUGGCUGCUUCUAAUAGCUUUCCUCAUUAAUUAUUUGUUUAUGUUUUCAUGUUUUAAUAAUUGUUUAGUCUUGUGUAUUGCCUAUUUAAAGGCUUCUCCAUCACUUGUAAUAAUCAUCCAGUAUCAAUACAAGUUCUCUUAGUCUAAUUUCGUGGCUCUCUCUCCCUUGCUUGUGUCUAAACAAUAUUCACAAUGUAAGGAGUUUAGAGUUAUGGUUUAGAGGCUGCCUU